AGUGAACGCUGGCGGUAGGCCUAACACAUGCAAGUCGAACGGCAGCACAGUAAGAGCUUGCUCUUACGGGUGGCGAGUGGCGGACGGGUGAGGAAUACAUCGGAAUCUACUUUUUCGUGGGUGAUAACGUAGGGAAACUUACGCUAGUACCGCAUACGACCUACGGGUGAAAGCAGGGGAUCUUCUGACCUUGCGCGAUUGAAUGAGCCGAUGUCGGAUUAGCUAGUUGGCUGGGUAAAGGCCCACCAAGGCGACGAUCCGUAGCUGGUCUGAGAGGAUGAUCAGCCACACUGGAACGGAGACACGGACCAGACUCCGACGGGAGGAAGCAGUGGGGAAUAUUGGACAAUGGGCGAAAGCCUGAUCCAGCAAUACCGCGUGGGUGAAGAAGGACUUCGGGUUGUAAAGCCCUUUUGUUGGGAAAGAAAAGCAGCAGGUUAAUACCCCGAUGUACUGACGGUACCCAAAGAAUAAGCAACGGCUAACUUCGUG
rnacentral:rRNA from 1 species